rnacentral:rRNA from 1 species
UACGGAGGGUGCGAGCGUUGUCCGGAAUCACUGGGCGUAAAGCGCACGUAGGCGGAUCGUUAAGUCGGGGGUGAAAUCCUGGAGCUCAACUCCAGAACUGCCUUCGAUACUGGCGAUCUUGAGUCCGGAAGAGGUGAGUGGAACUCCUAGUGUAGAGGUGGAAUUCGUAGAUAUUAGGAAGAACACCAGUGGCGAAGGCGGCUCACUGGUCCGGUACUGACGCUGAGGUGCGAAAGCGUGGGGAGCAAACAGG